rnacentral:misc_RNA from 1 species
GAUGAAGAACGUAGCGAAAUGCGAUAACUAAUGUGAAUUGCAGAAUUCAGUGAAUCAUCGAGUCUUUGAACGCACAUUGCGCCCCCUGGUAUUCCGGGGGGCAUGCCUGUCCGAGCGUCAUUGCUGCCCUCAAGCACGGCUUGUGUGUUGGGCUCCGUCCCCCCGGGGACGGGCCCGAAAGGCAGCGGCGGCACCGAGUCCGGUCCUCGAGCGUAUGGGGCUUUGUCACCCGCUCUGUAGGCCCGGCCGGCGCCAGCCGACAACCCAUCAUCCUUUUCAGGUUGACCUCGGAUCAGGUAGGGAUACCCGCUGAACUUAAUCAUAUCAAUAAGCGGAGGA